rnacentral:lncRNA from 1 species
UUCUCGUUUGCCAACGCUUGAAAAAAGUACCGGUAAACUUAUCCGGUUUCAGUGCAGCAGCAAAACCAUUACUCGAAAAAUUCCUACAGACAUUAGGUUUUUGGAUUGUUGAGUAAAUAGGCAAUUUUCCGAGUAUAUUAAUCCACGAAAUAAUAACUAGCAUGGCAUUGACUAGACUAAUGACAUACUGAUCUUGAGCUAACCUAGCACAUACUACGCAUAUAACGGAUACAUCUAUGCAAACAAGUAGUACUGCUAGGAUAAAUACGAACAUGAGGAUAAACGAGUCAUACCCUCCAAUCGGCCAGUUGGCCGUAGCAGCAGCAGCGGCGGCGGCGGCAGUAUCCUCUACCGUCUUCUUCUCGGCUUCCUCGCGGAGACGGUCAGCUUCACUUGGUGAAGACAUGGCGAUGACGAGGGCGACGCGGACGUAG